GAAGAAGGACAUGUUUGCUUCUCCUGCCAUGGCUGGAAGUUUCCUGAGGCCUCCCCAGCCAUCCUGAACUAGGUACCUGGUGCCAGUUCCUGAGACUUGAGGAUUCUGGUUGGUUCUCAGCACAGGAGUCAGCCUGCUCUGAUUUGCUAGAUUGUUUUGUUACUGAGAAAAUGCUUCCAAGCGGAAGAUACUCACAUGUCGCCACGCAUGGUACUUGUGGUAGCUCCACUGUGAAUGUACCCAGGUUUUCGGGCAUGGAUUUGCGCUAGAAAAGCCUUUUCAGAGGUCACCAUAGAUGUUAACAGUGGCUGUCUUUGGAUUCCAGAAUUAUAGAUCUCUAUGUGAAGACUUCGAAGAAUGUUAAUGAUAUAUUGCUAAUUUAAAGAAAAUGCAAAUUGCAGACCCCAAAAUGCAAUGCAUGAUCCUAUUUGUGUGAAAAAAAGAGUAUGUGUCUAUAAUCACAUCCUUAAACAUAUCUAUUUACACAAAAGCAAAACUUUGGGAAGGAUCAAACUGUUAAUAGUGGUUACUUCUGGGAAUGAAAGCUGCCGGUGAAGGUCUACAGAAUGAUUUUUUUAUUAUUAUUCUCUAUAAAUUUAAAAAGUGAUAGUAAGAAGAGGUUUUAAAAAGUGUUAAAAAUAUUUCUAAAUUAAUAAAGUUACUCUCCCUGUCAUGGGAAAGUGCUGGCUGGCAUCCCCAUCCCUCUUUGUACUCCUCUAACUGCAGAGGCUUAACCCUGUAGCCCUGCCUUACAGAGGCAAUGAUUCAACUCUUCGGGGCAUCAGAACAGGGAAUCUGUCAAAUGACUAAAUGUCCUUCUUGGUUACCUCAUUGCUAAAGAGCUGUGAUUACUUAUCUCAGUCUUGACUUUAAUAUAAAGAAAAGACAAUAUGAGAUAAGAAAAUCUCUAAGAAUUAAAAAAAAUAGAUUACAUUUAUGAAGUUUUCUGGGGGUAUUGGUGAAAAGAUUUCCUGUCUUUUGAUGAACAAAGACUUACUAAAAAAUAAGGCAGGGCAACAAAAGCCAAAGGAAGGUAAAAUCGUGAAGUGAGAACAAAUUGGUGUAGGGAGUUCCCAAAAUGGCUGGCAGGCCAGGCUCUGACACCAGCCAUGAAAGACCCUACAAUAGUCACAUGUGGUUCUGACAACUCUUGACCACUCAAUAGACCUUGGUGACCUAUUUGCCACAUAAAAGCAGACCACAACAAAAAAUAAAGCCACUUACUUUGUG
rnacentral:lncRNA from 10 species